AGUCUUGUUUCUGUUCAGCUCGUAUAAAUCUUUUGCCUUUUACUAAAGAUUUCUGUGGAGAGAAACAAGGAAAGUUUAUCCCAAUUUUUGAUACUCAACUAUUUGGUGCAG
rnacentral:snRNA from 1 species